rnacentral:rRNA from 1 species
CCUACGGGGGGCUGCAGUGGGGAAUAUUGGACAAUGGGGGGAACCCUGAUCCAGCCAUGCCGCGUGUGUGAAGAAGGCCCUCGGGUUGUAAAGCACUUUCAGUGAGGAAGAACGCCUGGUGGUUAAUACCCAUCAGGAAAGACAUCACUCACAGAAGAAGCACCGGCUAACUCCGUGCCAGCAGCCUCGGUAAUACGGAGGGUGCGAGCGUUAAUCGGAAUUACUGGGCGUAAAGCGCGCGUAGGUGGCUUGAUAAGCCGGUUGUGAAAGCCCCGGGCUCAACCUGGGAACGGCAUCCGGAACUGUCAAGCUAGAGUGCAGGAGAGGAAGGUAGAAUUCCCGGUGUAGCGGUGAAAUGCGUAGAGAUCGGGAGGAAUACCAGUGGCGAAGGCGGCCUUCUGGACUGACACUGACACUGAGGUGCGAAAGCGUGGGUAGCAAACAGGAUUAGAUACCCGAGUAGUC